CGCUGGAAUGACUAGAGUUACAAACGUUCCGGCGCUGAAGGAUGUGGCUGCGGCCGAUUAGGUAGAUGGUGGGGUAACGGCCCACCAUGCCAAUAAUCGGUACGGGUUGUGAGAGUGAGAACCUGGAGACGGUAUCUGAGACAAGAUUCCGGGCCCUACGGGGCGCAGCAGGCGCGAAACCUUUACACUGCACGACAGUGCGAUAGGGGGACUCCGA
rnacentral:rRNA from 1 species